rnacentral:rRNA from 1 species
UCCGGUUGAUCCUGCCAGAGGUUACUGCUAUCGAGGUUCGACUAAGCCAUGCGAGUCGAAUGUAGCAAUACAUGGCGUACUGCUCAGUAACACGUGGACAACCUGCCCUUAGGUUGGGUAUAAACCCGGGAAACUGGGUAUAAUCCCCUAUAGGUCUCGGCUGCUGGAAUGCAUCGAGAUUAAAAGCUCCGGCGCCUAAGGAUGGGUCUGCGGCCUAUCAGGUAGUAGUGGGUGUAGCGUACCUACUAGCCUACGACGGGUACGGGUUGUGAGAGCAAGAGCCCGGAGAUGGAUUCUGAGACACGAAUCCAGGCCCUACGGGGUGCAGCAGGCGCGAAAACUUUACAAUGCUGGCAACAGCGAUAAGGGAACCUCGAGUGCCAGGUUACAAAUCUGGCUGUCGAGAUGCCUAAAAAGCAUUUCAUAGCAAGGGCCGGGCAAGACCGGUGCCGGCCGCCGCGGUAACACCGGCGGCUCGAGUGGUAACCGUUAUUAUUGGGUCUAAAGGGUCUGUAGCCGGCCGGAUAAGUCUCUUGAGAAAUCUGGCAGCUUAACUGUCAGGCUUUCAGGAGAUACUGUCUGGCUCGAGGCCGGGAGAGGUGAGAGGUAC